rnacentral:lncRNA from 1 species
UUGCGUCACAAUGCGGAAUUUUACUCAAUGAAUUAAAAUUCUACUACACUAUUCAUUUUAAUGCAAACUGCAAACUCUUAUUUAACUAACCCAGUUAACUGUUCCAAUAAAAUACUUAUACAUGUUACAGUGUUCGCAUUUCAAUCUUGGCUGUAUAAGUAAUAACAUGAUCCAAGUAUGAUUAAGCAGUUUAUUAUGUUUGUAAAGAACCCAUCCCAGAUAUAAUGGAACACACGGCGUACCCCACAGUCUUCAUAAGAUGGUUGUUAAGUGCAGCGUUGUGUAUCGCAUUAUAACGCUCUUGUCAAAUCUUCGUUGAGUUUGUAAACAAUUAAGUACUGGUUGAGUUAAUACAAAAAAAAGGAAAUGAACAAGCUUUUUAUUAGAAAAGAGUCUUCAUAUUGGAUGUGAUUUCUCAGCAACAUUUAAACAGUGAUCAUGAAUAUAACGAGCCUGAACUGAUUUCAUUUGUUUACAAGGCACACAGACUAAUUAUCACUGUUUCUUGCAUGAAAGUCUUUGCUUUGACGAAAAAAUUUAAUAUUCUAAGAAAAGCUAUCAAUCAAAAUCCAAAUAAAAAUUUUUUUAGAAAGCAGGGAAGUGUUUUCGAAGUCAACAACUUGUAUGAUAAUAUAAGAAUGCAAUAAAAAUACAGCGCAAUUUACCCUGAACGAAUUUUAUAGCUUGUUUGGGGUAAAUCACAAUCACAGGAAUGCUUUUUUAUUUGGACAUCCUCGUAAACAAGUUUCGUGUAAAAAGCAUCUUUGUAAUUCAAAUAGUAAAGUUAGCAUGUGAUUGGACUUUAUUUACAAAAUUCAUUUCACACGAUGAAUAGAGGUUUCUUCAUUCACAUGCUGUCUGGCAUCACGAUCUAUAGGUGUUAAGCAAACACAUUUAAAGUGAUACUUUUUUAUAUAAUAGAAUAUGCCACCAUAAGUUAGUUCGCAAAUUUUUAGCUUU